AAGACCUUGCGCUUUUGGAGUGGCCGAUGCCUGAUUAGCUAGUUGGUGGGGUAAGGGCCUACCAAGGCAACGAUCAGUAGUUGGUCUGAGAGGACGACCAGCCACACUGGGACUGAGACACGGCCCAGACUCCUACGGGAGGCAGCAGUGGGGAAUUUUGGACAAUGGGCGAAAGCCUGAUCCAGCAAUGCCGCGUGAGUGAAGAAGGCCUUCGGGUUGUAAAGCUCUUUCAGUCGAGAAGAAAAGGUUGUGACUAAUAAUCACAACUUAUGACGGUACCGACAGAAGAAGCACCGGCUAACUACGUGCCAGCAGCCGCGGUAAUACGUAGGGUGCGAGCGUUAAUCGGAAUUACUGGGCGUAAAGGGUGCGCAGGCGGCUUUGUAAGUCAGAUGUGAAAUCCCCGGGCUUAACCUGGGAAUU
rnacentral:rRNA from 1 species